rnacentral:lncRNA from 1 species
UAUUACAAAUUUUCUCAAUUUAAUCAUUGGUUGGUUAUCACUACGUCAUAAAUGAAGACGGCUUCAUAAGUCAUAAACGCGCCGUAUUAUGUGCUAAGUGAUUUGGAAAAAUAUAUCGUUCAACACGACAUUCUCUGCUAACUAAUCCUGUAACCAAGUACAGUAUGCAGCUGGUAGACAAAUAGAAUCAUUUGUUUUUAUAACAUAACUGGUAUGUAUAUGGUUAAGAAAGUUGUUUGAGUUAACAAAAUCGAUAGCCCUUAACUGGUAUGACCGGUAGAUGGCAGCUCAGCUAGUGAUAGAUAUUCAAUUUGGAUAACGUCAAAGGUACUUUUAAUCUUGUCUGAAUCAAAGUGGAUAGUUACAAGAUACACACUAUCUGGUUUCAUGUCUUCGAAUAUGUAAUUUCUUCGUAGACUGCUUUUCUCUCGGAAAGAUGGUCUACAUCAGACUUGGAUGUUAUUUCAAAAAUGAAGAUGCGAUACAGAAAAUAGAGUGUCGGAUAGAAGUAAGUAUCUACAUGCCAAUCACUUGCUGACUGAUAGCUGACAUGCAUGAAUAUCUAGCGAACAGAACAACGAAUAUUUGAGGCUCUGCAAGAAUCCUGAUGGAAUUAAAAGGUGACAGAUGAACUGAUGUGUAUUGACAAUUGAUGAAAACUAUGAAAAACUUUGAAAUGGAAUAAAUAUUAAAAAUUCA